UUAGUGUAAAACACUUGCAUACUUAAUAAUUAUGAUGUGAGAGAAUCCUUUUCCUGGUUUAUUAUGUCAUACUCAAUACACCAGGGUGGCUGAUAUAUGAAUUGAUAUCACCUGUUAUCCUCGUCAUUCACAUAUGUUAAAUGCACUUGUAGCCAUAAUACAUACACCUUGAUAUCUACCACAGUCAUGCUUAGCACUUGGACUGGCACGUUGCUCACAUCUCUUUCUAAUCCUUUCUUCAUAAGCUUUUUCUAAGCUUACAUAUUUUCAUCGGCUACCCAUUUAGAAAAGCUCAACUAUACAUAUGUAAAAAGGUUUCAGUAAGAAUGCAUAACCAACUAAAUUAUUAGCACAAACACAAUAAAUAAAUAAAUAAAUAAUAAUGUUUGUACCUCCAAUAUGCUAUCAAGAAUUAAUAACAUCCUUCAGUGAACCAUUGCGCUGAUUUGAACGCUGAUUUGAACGCUCUGACUCAUUAGGCCUUUCUUUACAAGGACAAAAUCACGAAAAGGCAAAAUAAAGCAAAGAGCUCACCUUGCAAAAUUAGGAAAGGGAGCUUUCAAUUGGAAGAAGAAGUUGGCCCCGAGACAAUGGUCCACACAAAUGGAGGCAAAAGUUCAUGUAAAGAACACAAAUCAAAGCAUGCACCACAUAAAUAGAGAAUCAUCCGAAACUCAAAUCAUCGGAAUAAAACAAGAGAUCUUAUUAGCCUUUGCUAACUUGGAAAUCUAAAAUCAAAACAUCAAAUCACCAAACAAAGGUGAGUAAGAAAACAGAACUUAAAAAAUAAAAAACAGAAUGAAAUAUGAACACAGAGCAGAAAUUAGCCGCUACAGAACAUUUAUAACCAAGAAGUGACCAGCCCUAUUCAAUAGCAUCAUCAUCCUAAUUCCCAAGUCAUACCCUUUGCUAAAAACUCUUUUAAGUCAUGCAUUUUCUAACUAUGAUUGUAUUGCUUUUGACUCUAAAGACAGUAAAUGUUCCAACUUGUCUAAGGCUACAAAAAUAUGUUAAUGAUGGUAAACUUGACUUAAAACAAAUACGUUCCCUCCAAUAUGAGUUCUCUCUAUCUUGGUUCUAAACGUGGUAAACUUGGUUUAAAACAAAUAAGCUCUCUCUAUCUGCAACCCUUAGAACACCUAGUUUAAGUAUGCAACAUUUUAUCUUAAUUAAAUUCAGAAAGUUGAAUAUGGCUUUAAGGCAUUUUACAAAUAGGUUUUGGGCACUAAUUAGGAUGGAGAAAAAUACUACAGAGAGUAAACAGAGCAGAAAUUAGCUGUUAUGGAACAUUUAUAACCAAGAGGUGACAAUCGCAACUGUAUUUGAUUGAAUUCAACUUUUCAUCCAUUCACAAUAUUCAUCAUUUUCCAUGAUUAAUGAUUCUAGAGAAUGAAAUGUUUGAAAUGAGAAUGAGUUCUUCAAUUGUUUAAGUUGCUCCUGAGAUGAGUAUGUGUUCUGUGUUUGUUUCAUGGAUACCCAAUUAAUUGGAGAACAAGAUUAGAUAACCCAAAAAAUGAAGAAACUUCACCGUGCUUUUCGGAUGACAAAAUUUUGCCACCACAAUAGUGGUGGCGAACUCUGCUCGGCAAACAAUAGCUCAUCCCUAUUCCUCGAACAAGACCCUGCCUCUCAUUUUUUUCUCUUUUUUUUUUGUUAAUUUGGUUUGAAGAGACAAAAUAUGCAAGGGAAAAAGAAAUCACGCAAAAGUGGGGAAAUCCAAUUGUUUUAAAUUCAAGAGUUAGCUACUUGCAUGAAAUUAUUAUUCUAAAUUCAAGAGUUAGCUACUUGCGUGAAAUUUCAUAAGUGACUUGGCACAAAAACUGCCUUCCUUUCCUGGAAAAAAAAAAAGAGAACCAAAAAUUAUACAUUUAACCCAUCAAUCAUGCUGAACGCUCAUCUGAAGUGGCCUGAAUUUAACAUCAAAGAAUCUUUGGAACUAAUUUCACUACCAUGGCAUAUUUCGACAAUCUAAGCUUGCUCAGACUCAAAAAAAAAAAGUAUAGCUAAUUGUCAAAAAAAAAUACAUCAUCUUUUCUUAGCUUUACAUUGCAUAAAUUCAGGGCUAACAAGUUCAUAUUGUUAGACCACCAUUCAUUUAUUGAAGUUAGGAAUAACACCUAGACCAACUGUAAUAACCUCUCAAUAUGUUUAGAAAAUCACCUAUAUUUUUCUUGUUACUUGGUUUUGGAUAGAAAAGUUAGUUGUAAUGCCUCUGGAAUACAAAUACCUUAAUGUAAUUCCUUUAUAAUAGUUUGUCUGUUGACAACCUAAUUAAACUCAUUCAAAAAAAAAAUUGAACUUGCAAAUUUGGUGUUCAACACCUUUUAAUUUGAUUAGUUUCCUGCGUAAUUUCUAAUGUUUUAAAUCUCAAAUAUAGAAAAUGAAUUGGAUAUAUUCAUAGGCUAGAUUACAAACUACAUUAGCUAAACCCACAAAGUAAAAUAGGAAAAGGAUAAAACACAUACACACACACAAACACAAAGUGAAACAGAAAGUAUGAAAUGCCUGGCCGUGUCUUACUCUUACACAAGGAAAAUUAAAGAAAGAAAAAGAGAAAAAUAGCAUCCAAUUGGCCUUCCAUUUAUUCCUUUCUGUUCUGUAGUUUUUUUGGUUCUUUUUGGAAACUUAUUAGUUUAUAAUGGAUUAAACUAUACAGAUAUUAUAAUAAGAAAAGGUUAUAGGAACUGCAAAACCUGUUAGGUGCGGUUUAUGAGAAGAAAAAUCAAUUGCUCCAAUACAUUAUAAAUGAGGUGUUAAAAAAAAUGACAAAUUAAUGCUCCACCAGUUUUGAUAUCAAAGAAGUUGUUGCUCAAUAUAAACGUCUACAUCUGGCUACGUCAAUUUUGCAACAGUUUGCCAACUUGUUACAAAAGAUUUGAAAGGUAUUUUAUUUUCAACAGAAUCUAAAACCAAAUGAAUAUUUCGAAGUGGUUAAACAAAAUGCUCAUGGGUUUGGUUGCCAAUUCAUGUACUAAUCACAAAUCAAGAACUACUUGGUUUCUAUCCAAGUGGACAUUUUCAUUGGCUUGGGUAUUAAGCAUCGAAAGUCUCUUACUUAUUUUCUUUAUUCAUAACCGUUGACAAUGACACCAGUUUUUUCGCUCUGCAAUUUUCAAAUUUACGUGAACCAUAUAAUGUACUAUGUAAACACAGGAAGGGAACCAUAAUGUCAUAACAAAUUACAAAAAACAAAAAAACAAGCAAAUACCAUAUCACAAUCGAAACAUGCAUUGAUGAAAUUACAUUAAACCAAUCCAAAACAUCAAACAAUUUUCUGAAACGGAGAAAAACUAACACACAAUAAUUGUAGAUGUUAAAUGAGGACAUAUAGCGAAUAUAUGGUGUGCACGUCAAAUAAGUUUGAAUGACCUGUCUAAAAAUACAGCCCUUAAUCAUAAAACAAAAGACAUCAGCACAACAAACAAAUCACAUCAAUGCGACUUUCAAUUAUGAUCAGCAAAUUGAUAAACUCAAAACCGAUAAGCUAAUAGACAUAGAGUGAAAAGUUCACCUUUCAAAACCAUCGAAACUUCACAAUGCUCUUCUGGUGAAGAAAUUCAACGACAAUGGCUAUGGCAGUGGCGGUGGUGGAUUCCGGUCAACAGGCAAUGACUCCUCCGUGCUCCUCGGACUCCCUUUUUUGUGGCUUUGCUAUUACUUUCCCCUUCUUCUCUAUUUCUUGUUUGCUUGUAAUGGGAUGGAGUUAGAAAACUUGUAUGCGUUUUUAGUGAUGUGCAUCAAUGAUUCUUGGAGAUGAAAUCUUUGAGAUAACAGUAGUGGCUUCUUCAUAAUUUUAGCAGUUAAAAAACAAUAAACUGCUGCAUUAGUUAACCCAAACUGAAAGAAAACAUGCGUCAAAAAUGAAUGGUAACGAGGUUUCUACCAACCGCUUCCUACCCCUCCAAGAAGUACUCCUGUCCAACUAACAAAACCAAAUGCCCUCAAAGAACAACAAUGAAGGACUCACUCUUGCAGCUACCAAAGAACGCUG
rnacentral:lncRNA from 1 species